UCAAGAAUGUACAGCUCCAAACACCUGCUCCUCCACAGAAACAGGGAAAACCAAGCAGAACUGUCAGAAACGAUGUUGUAAAACCUGUUGAAAACCAUCAAGUUGUACAGCAACCAUGUAACUACAAAAUCAAGAAAAACAAUGAAGAACAGGAGAAAAGCCUCGUGGACUUUUUACACGUCCUUGCCCAAAUCCUUCCCUUACUUGAUGGCAGUCUUAAAAACAACAUCCUGAGUUGCCAGUAUGGGCCUCUGCUCAGUGGUUCCAGAGGGAAAAGAGGAGGUCUUACUUGCAAAGUAUUGUGUUGUUACAUUAAAAUCUGUAUUAGGGCUAUCCAGAGGUCUGAAACAAGGCUCUCUUUUUUCUCUAAGUCAGAAAAAAAAAUCAGUUUAAAAAAUUGGCACGAGUUACUUGGGAGUAUUUUAAGGAAACUGAAAGCCAGCAGCCCCCUGGAGAACAGAUUACAGACGACACAUACAAUAGGUCACAUAAAGCCAAGAAUAAAAAGCUAACGUGAGAUUUUGUUUUGUUUUACAAAUUAGGCUAUUAAAAAGCACCCAGGUAUGCUGGCAAAUUGACAAAGCACUCUGUGCAUAACCACGAAAAACACAUUUUCUUAAAGACCCAAGAAGACCCUCAUUUUCAGCACUGGCUGACCUUCAGGCUCAGCUCAGCAGAAAGUGAAGACUGAAGCAAAGUUUUCAACAGUCUGCACAUGUGUUAAAGGAACGCCCCAGCCCAGAGCCAUCCACAAAAACUGGAAGAAUCCGUCAGUUUGUCUUUGUCUCAGUUUUGUCAUAUAGACCUUUGUGACACACAGAUCUAUAUACAAUGGAAACUACAAAUUUCUAAUGAAAGAGCCAUGAAAGAUCACAAAAGAUCUUAAUAAAUAGAAAGACAUUUAAUGUGCAUGAUCAUAAAAUCUCAAUAUUGUCAAGAUAUAAUUUCUCCCCAAUUUGAGUUAUAGGCAAGAGAGUCACAUCAUCUAGGUGAUUGGCCAAACAUAUGUCACAAUCCCUUCCAUUGACAGCUCCCAAAAAAGGAGUUACAUCACCUAGGUGCUCAGCUCUGAGAUGUGUCACAACAUUGCCCAAUACAGGCAGGCCACAGGCGGGAGAGUCACAUUUCCUGGGUGCUUGGCCCAGUGGUAUGUCACAUUUCCUUAUGUAGGAAGGGCACACGUAGCAAGAGAGAGUCACAUUACCUAGGUACUGUGCUAGAGCUAUCAGUCUCUGUGUCGUUCAAUGUGAGAGUUAUGAUCUCUUUAGACAUCCAUGUAACAGAGCCUCAACUCCUUCAUCCUCAGAUGUAAAGGCUAGUGAAGACCAAAUAAGCCUUGAAAGGUAAUUCCCCUAAAAAGGCAGAAUGUCUUAGGCUUUGGCCUCUCCCCUUCAAGCACAAUGAGAUCAUAACCUCUCUUUUGACUUCUCACUAUGCCCAGCACUGGAACAAAGCUCCUGACUCCACACCCUCACCUUUCCACCCUUGUGCCUUCACUGGGCAGACAAGAGAUGAGAAGACCUGAACUCUGGGACAGUCUGGGGAGAAAAGAAUCCAAAAAGGGUUGAGGCGGCAAGGGCUGAGCUCCCACGGGUGCCCCGGCCCAAAGGUGCAGGUCCAGGCUGUUUUCCAGGUGGCAUUCAGUGCAGGUUCUUCAAUGCCACUGGAAGGCAUGAAAAACCCACUGUAGCUGCUGCUGCUUCCUUUUCUUAAGCUGUGAAAAUGCAAACACUUUUUCAAGGUUUUCAGAUAUGCCCAGGUACCCCCAACUGAAAAGGAGGAUAAUGGCAUUGUUCAUCAUGGCUUAUUGUCUUGCCCAGGCAGGAGCCAGCCCCUGACUCGCCAAUCCAGCUGCCCCAGGCUGGAGGUGAUCCUUUCGAGCCUCCUCCCUGCAACUCCACUCCUCUUUUUUCUCUUCCUCAACCACCGGCAUACUUUUGGUCAUCCUCCUUGUUGUCACAAUGGGGGCGUGAUGCCAUAAAGACCUGGGAACCCCAAUGAUCUCAGGUCCCGCAGGGGUCAGGUGAGCAUAUAGGAAGUCCAGAAGGACAGUCAUCUGCCACCUCCAGUUGAAAAAGAACAAAACCCUCGCACUCCAGAAAUGAGUCAAGAACCCAGCGAAGGCCACAGGUCUAGCCCACAACCACCUAGUGUCCAGGUGAAGACGCCGGGAGUCAGAGAGGAAAGUCUUUUGAAGCCUCCAAAAGGAAUGCACAGGACCCCACUUGAAGAGGUGGAGUGCCCAGUGGCGGAUACAGGCCCCACACAUCGCAGCAGUAAACAGGUAAGGCGCUCCCUGGCCCAUGCCUGUUUCCUGGAAACUGAAGCCAUGCCCAGGCUGGGAGUCACCAUUCCAGAAACAGAAUAAGCUGUUGGGCUGGCUACCUCACCCAGCACCCGGCCACGCCAGAGAGAAUCUUGGAUGCUGCUUUCCCACAGGCUGUAGUGCCUUCCAAGUUAGGCCACCCUAAUAACAGUUCUCCCACAGGGACUCCACGGUGUCCAGCUCUCCAGCCUGGGGUUUCUCAUCACCCAGUGAUUCCAAAAGAAACGAUCUACAAUGGCAUGACUAAGUUCCAGAAACAAAUAAACAAAAUACUGAGGGAAGCCCGUUGGUCACUUUGAUUCUUCAAAGGUGACAAUUGUCCCUCCCUGAAAUCUUGUGAGUGCAUGAACAGGCUAUUCUAAUGUAAAUGAAAUUCACACUAAAACUGAUUGAAAGAUGAUUCUGUUUCCAAGGUACUUUGUAUUCUCAAAUUGCACCUGCUUACCCUGGCCCCCUCAAAAUGGAAGAGUGAUGACUAUUUGUCUUCGUAGCACUGUGGGGACACAGAGCCUUAAAUGGAAGAGUGUCAAAAGCAACAUUCCAUAAAGGGCUGUCACUUCCAAUUUUCAAGCAAGGUUGGAAACCAACCAUGAUGUAUGAAACACUGUUGGCCAAAGUGCACAAUUAGUAAUACAAAAUGAAUAAUAUAAACUAUUGUAAAUAUGUGUGGACAUCGUGGCAAUUUGGACAUCAAAAAACACUGCCAAAUUCAGAAAGAGGAAGCUGUAAACUCAUGGCUGUUAGGAAGCUUAACUUCUGUGUACUAGAACCUAUCAAAAUUAAAUUUCUCCAUGUCAAUCCGUCCAAA
rnacentral:lncRNA from 1 species